AACGAACGCUGGCGGCAGGCUUAACACAUGCAAGUCGAAUGAGAUCUUCGGAUCUAGUGGCAGACGGGUGAGGAACACGUGGGAACAUCCCUUUCAGUUCGGAAUAACGUUGGGAAACUAACGCUAAUACCGGAUACGUCCUUCGGGAGAAAGAUUUAUCGCUGAAAGAUUGGCCCGCGUCUGAUUGGCUAGUUGGUGAGGUAAUGGCUCACCAAGGCUACGAUCAGUAGCUGAUCUGAGAGGAUGAUCAGCCACAUUGGGACUGAGACACGGCCCAAACUCCUACGGGAGGCAGCAGUGGGGAAUAUUGGACAAUGGGCGCAAGCCUGAUCCAGCCAUGCCGCGUGAGUGAUGACGGCCUUCGGGUUGUAAAGCUCUUUUGUCCGGGAAGAUAAUGACUGUACCGGAAGAAUAAGCCCCGGCAAACUUCGUGCCAGCCGCCGCAGUAACAC
rnacentral:rRNA from 1 species